AACGAACGCUGGCGGCAGGCCUAACACAUGCAAGUCGAGCGAGGACUUCGGUUCUAGCGGCGGACGGGUGAGUAACGCGUGGGAAUGUGCCCUUCUCUACGGAAUAGCCCUGGGAAACUGGGAGUAAUACCGUAUACGCCCUAUUGGGGAAAGAUUUAUCGGAGAAGGAUCAGCCCGCGUUGGAUUAGGUAGUUGGUGGGGUAAUGGCCUACCAAGCCGACGAUCCAUAGCUGGUUUGAGAGGAUGAUCAGCCACACUGGGACUGAGACACGGCCCAGACUCCUACGGGAGGCAGCAGUGGGGAAUCUUAGACAAUGGGGGCAACCCUGAUCUAGCCAUGCCGCGGGAGUGAUGAAGGCCUUAGGGUUGUAAAGCUCUUUCAGCUGGGAAGAUAAUGACGGUACCAGCAGAAGAAGCCCCGGCUAACUCCGU
rnacentral:rRNA from 1 species